rnacentral:tRNA from 1 species
GCUGGUGUAGCACAACUGGCAGUGUGCUUCACUCGUAAUGAAGAGGUCGGAGGUUCGAGUCCUCUCACCAGCA